UACGUAGGGUGCGAGCGUUAAUCGGAAUUACUGGGCGUAAAGCGUGCGCAGGCGGUUUUGUAAGCCAGAUGUGAAAGCCCCGGGCUUAACCUGGGAAUGGCAUUUGGGACUGCAAGGCUGGAGUUUGGCAGAGGAGACUGGAAUCCUGGUGUAGCAGUGAAAUGCGUAGAUAUCAGGAGGAAUACCGAUGGCGAAGGCAGGUCUCUGGGCUAUAAC
rnacentral:rRNA from 1 species